GGGGCUGUAGCUCAGCGGCUGAGUGCUUGCCUAGCAUGCAUGAGGCACUGGGUUUGAUCCUCAGCACCACA
rnacentral:tRNA from 1 species